UACGGGGGGAGCAAGCGUUGUUCGGAUUUACUGGGCGUAAAGGGCGCGUAGGCGGUCCUGAUCGUCGGAUGUGAAAGGCCUGGGCUCAACCUGGGAAUGGCAUCCGAUACGGCGGGACUGGAGUGUGGGAGAGGUUGGUGGAAUUCCCAGUGUAGAGGUGAAAUUCGUAGAUAUUGGGAAGAACACCGGUGGCGAAGGCGGCCAACUGGACCACAACUGACGCUGAGGCGCGAAAGCGUGGGGAGCAAACAGG
rnacentral:rRNA from 1 species